ACAAAUACUAGCCCAUACCCCACACAGUACAACUACCACCUUCCCCCCAACAAAACAUUUACUAAAUAAAAGUAUAGGAGAUAGAAAUU
rnacentral:rRNA from 1 species